AUUGAACGCUGGCGGCAGGCUUAACACAUGCAAGUCGAGCGGGCGAGGUUGCUUCGGUAACUGAGCUAGCGGCGGACGGGUGAGUAAUGCUUAGGAAUCUGCCUAUUAGUGGGGGACAACAUUCCGAAAGGAAUGCUAAUACCGCAUACGCCCUACGGGGGAAAGCAGGGGAUCUUCGGACCUUGCGCUAGUAGAUGAGCCUAAGUCAGAUUAGCUAGUUGGUGGGGUAAAGGCCUACCAAGGCGACGAUCUGUAGCGGGUCUGAGAGGAUGAUCCGCCACACUGGGACUGAGACACGGCCCAGACUCCUACGGGAGGCAGUAGUGGGGAAUAUUGGACAAUGGGCGCAAGCCUGAUCCAGCCAUGCCGCGUGUGUGAAGAAGGCCUUUUGGUUGUAAAGCACUUUAAGCGAGGAGGAGGCUACCUGGAUUAAUACUCUAGGAUAGUGGACGUUACUCGCAGAAUAAGCACCGGCUAACUCUGUGCCAGCCGCCGCGGUAA
rnacentral:rRNA from 1 species